UACGUAGGGUGCGAGCGUUGUCCGGAAUUAUUGGGCGUAAAGGGCUCGUAGGCGGUUUGUCACGUCGGGAGUGAAAACUCGGGGCUCAACCCCGAGCCUGCUUCCGAUACGGGCAGACUAGAGGUAUGCAGGGGAGAAUGGAAUUCCUGGUGUAGCGGUGAAAUGCGCAGAUAUCAGGAGGAACACCGGUGGCGAAGGCGGUUCUCUGGGCAUUACCUGACGCUGAGGAGCGAAAGCCAGGGGAGCAAACGGG
rnacentral:rRNA from 1 species